rnacentral:tRNA from 1 species
GAUUCCGUAGUGUAGCGGUUAUCACAUCGCCUAACACGCAGAAGGUCCCCGGUUCGAGCCCGGGCGGAAUCA